GCUGAUACUGACGCUGAGGCACGAAAGCGUGGGGAGCGAACAGGAUUAGAUACCCUGGUAGUCCACGCUGUAAACGAUGAUCACUCGCUGUUGGCAAUACAUCGUCAGCGGCUGAGCGAAAGCAUUAAGUGAUCCACCUGGGGAGUACGUCGGCAACGAUGAAACUCAAAGGAAUUGACGGGGGCCCGCACAAGCGGUGGAACAUGUGGUUUAAUUCGAUGAUACGCGAGGAACCUUACCUGGGCUUAAAUGCAGAACGACGGUUCCCGAAAGGGAUCCUUCUUCGGACGGACUGCAAGGUGCUGCAUGGUUGUCGUCUGCUCGUGCCGUGAGGUGUCGGGUUAAGUCCCAUAACGAGCGCAACCCCUAUUGUUAGUUGCCAGCGAGUAAUGUCGGGGACUCUAACGAAACUGCCGGUGUAAACCGAGAGGAAGGUGGGGAUGACGUCAAAUCAGCACGGCCCUUAUGUCCAGGGCUACACACGUGUUACAAUGGUCGAUACAGAGAGAAGCUACUUGGCGACAAGAUGCUAAUCUCGAAAAUCGUUCUUAGUUCGGAUUGGAGUCUGCAACUCGACUUCAUGAAGCUGGAAUCGCUAGUAAUCGCACAUCAGCCAUGGUGCGGUGAAUACGUUCCCGGGCAUUGUACACACCGCCCGUCAAGCCAUGGAAGCCGGGGGUA
rnacentral:rRNA from 1 species